AGUGAACGCUGGCGGUAUGCCUAACACAUGCAAGUCGAACGGCAGCACAGUAAGAGCUUGCUCUUACGGGUGGCGAGUGGCGGACGGGUGAGGAAUACAUCGCAAUCUACUUUUUCGUGGGGGAUAACGUAGGGAAACUUACGCUAAUACCGCAUACGACCUACGGGUGAAAGCAGGGGAUCUUCGCACCUUGCGCGAUUGAUUGAGCCGAUGUCGGAUUAGCUAGUUGGCGUGGUAAAGGCCCACCAAGGCGACGAUCCGUAGCUGGUCUGAGAGGAUGAUCAGCCACACUGGAACUGAGACACGGUCCAGACUCCUACGGGAGGCAGCAGUGGGGAAUAUUGGGCAAUGGGCGCAAGCCUGAUCCAGCAAUACCGCGUGGGUGAAGAAGGCCUUCGGGUUGUAAAGCCCUUUUGUUGGGAAAGAAAAGCAGCAGGUUAAUACCCCGCUGUUCUGACGGUACCCAAAGAAUAAGCACCGGCUAACUUCGUG
rnacentral:rRNA from 1 species